rnacentral:rRNA from 1 species
CGUAGGGUGCGAGCGUUAAUCGGAAUUACUGGGCGUAAAGUGUGCGCAGGCGGCCGAGCAAGUCGAGUGUGAAAGCCCCGAGCUUAACUUGGGAACUGCGCUCGAAACUACUUGGCUAGAGUGUGGCAGAGGGAGGUGGAAUUCCACGUGUAGCGGUGAAAUGCGUAGAGAUGUGGAGGAACACCGAUGGCGAAGGCAGCCUCCUGGGCCAACACUGACGCUCAUGCACGAAAGCGUGGGGAGCAUACAGGAUUAGAUACCCUGGUAGUCCACGCCCUAAACGAUGAUGACUAGUUGUUGGAGGAGUUAAAUCCUUUAGUAACGCAGCUAACGCGUGAAGUCAUCCGCCUGGGGAGUACGGUCGCAAGAUUA